rnacentral:lncRNA from 1 species
AUAAUAACGGGGAUAUUGUAGGUAACUUGGUGGUAUACCAUGGGGACAGUACCGAUGACUUGUAGUAAAUUGACAGUACGUCCAUCGUUGUGAGUGAAUGAAGCAGUUUUAGGUUGAAGUGAAGGAUGAAUUUCGAUAAGAGAAAGGAGGUGUUGUCGGAUUAACCAUUUGACGUCUUCCGAAUAAGGAAGGGAAGAAGGGCCGCGUUGAGAGAGAACGCUGCUGAGGAAUUGUUGGAUGUAUUGGGAAUUUGGAGGCAUCAUUAGGAAUGAAGGGAGAAAGGGGAUCUAAGGGAUUUAAGGGGAAGGAGGGGGUUUAGGUUGCUUAGAGAGAUGGUGAACCGCGUAUGCAGGAAAGGGCUUUCAUUUUAUUUUUUUGCUGAAAAUAACAGGGAAGUUAAUCGC